CCUUCGGGUGGCUGCAGUGGGGAAUAUUGGACAAUGGGCGAAAGCCUGAUCCAGCCAUGCCGCGUGUGUGAAGAAGGCCUUCGGGUUGUAAAGCACUUUCAGUGGGGAAGAAAGCCUUGGGGCUAAUACCCUCGAGGAAGGACAUCACCCACAGAAGAAGCACCGGCUAACUCCGUGCCAGCAGCCGCGGUAAUACGGAGGGUGCGAGCGUUAAUCGGAAUUACUGGGCGUAAAGCGCGCGUAGGCGGUCUGAUAAGCCGGUUGUGAAAGCCCCGGGCUCAACCUGGGAACGGCAUCCGGAACUGUCAGGCUAGAGUGCAGGAGAGGAAGGUAGAAUUCCCGGUGUAGCGGUGAAAUGCGUAGAGAUCGGGAGGAAUACCAGUGGCGAAGGCGGCCUUCUGGACUGACACUGACGCUGAGGUGCGAAAGCGUGGGUAGCAAACAGGAUUAGAUACCCGGGUAGUC
rnacentral:rRNA from 1 species